AACGCACCUUGAACUCCUUGGUAUUCCGAGGAGUAUGCCUGUUUGAGUGUCAUGUUAUCCUCACUUUUCUCAGAUUUUCUUCUGAGAUAGAGUGGAAUUGGAAGCUGCUGGUUGAUAUCAAUCAGCUCUUCUUAAAUGUAUCAGUGUGAAUGUUACCAAUGUUCUCAGUGUAAUAAUUAUUUGCGCUGCCGGGACACGGGUGAAAUAUAGAUUCAUGCUUCAAACCGUCUGCUACAGACAAUAUACUAUUGCAUUUGACCUCAAAUCAGGUAGGAUUACCCGCUGAACUUAA
rnacentral:misc_RNA from 1 species